GUUUGACGUGACAACUCGCAGGCGUAACAACGGUCACAGUUAACGAGAUACAAAUUAACCGGAUGGCAUUAUGGAAUAUUGUAAUAGUUGGGAUGAAAAGGAAGUCCAGCGUAAUAGAGAACUUAUACAUGAUGGCAGACUUGUUGAGGUCAGCGACAAAUACAUAACGCAGUUAAUAAACUUUUCCGAUCUAACAGACAAAGGCGGUGGAUUCGGAAAAAUAUAUAUAUCUCGAGAUCCUGUCCCUGGAUUCAAACACCGACUUGUCCUUAAGGAGAUUUGUGUGUAUGAUGAGAACUCAAAAUCUC